GGAGUAGUACUGGAUGCACACCAUGACCCAAAUACCAAAUCAAAUUGGGCUUAAUCAUAAGGAUCCAGGCAUCAAUUAAGUCAGGUUGAAAUAGUUCAAGAUGGAUGCAUACCAGGUAGGACAGACUGGGUUCAUCUGGGGUUGUUAAGAGGAUAAGAAUCAGACAGAACUUAGAAGCAGGAAUUGGGCAGGAUAACCCACAAAAGGCUGAGCCCUACCAAACUGCUGGCUAUGUCUUCCCCAGAGAAGGGGUGGCAGAUGGAUGCCUUUAGGUGUGGGGUACUCAUUUGGAGCAUGAAGCCCUUUUCAGCCCAAUGCUACCUGACACUGCCUCUUGCCUGCUGCCCCACUGGUGAAGCAGUGUCCCACAGAAGAAGAAGAAGAGUUUGGAUUUGAUAUCCCACUUUAUCACUACCCGAAGGAGUCUCAAAGCGGCUAACAUCCUCCUUUCCCUUCUUCCCCCACAACAAACACUCUGUGAGGUGAGUGGGGCUGAGAGACUUCAGAGAAGUGUGACUAGCCCAAGGUCACCCAGCAGCUGCAUGUGGAGGAGUGGAGAUGCGAACCCGGUUCCCCAGAUUAUGAGUCUACUGCUCUUAACCACUACACCACACUGGCUCUCAAUGUCUCCACUCAACAGCUGUUGAAAGGAGGUAAUCAUACUUGCCAGGUGCUUCUUCCCAAGCAUGCCUUCUUUGGAGGAAAAAAAAAACACUUGUGAAAGACCACCCUGCAGAAAUUAACCCCCAUGGGGAUUGGGGGAGAGAGACACCAUGUCUCCUUUCUGUCAGGAGCUAGCCGGCUGCCGGCUUGCUAACACAGCACACAAGACGUAUUUAGCUUGAAGAUGUAUUGCAAAACAUGUUGUUCGCCACAACCGCUCCCGCCGAGCAGCCAUGCAUCAAAUCAAGUUGACUCUUCUGAAGAGUACUUCCGGGACCUGCAGAAUAGCCUGAAAUUCUGACCCUUACUUUUCGUCGUUUGUUUUCUGUCUAAGACCGUCCCCAUUCAUCUAGGCUUAGGACUAAUAGGGUCAGCAAACUCCCCUUCCGUUGAAGAACUACUCCCCCUCCUAUGGGCCGAGAGUGACUGAGAUUCUUGAGAGAGCUGGCUGCCAUCCAGCCCACCCUUUCCGAGCUGAUAAGCUGCAUUCCUACUAACUCCCAAGAGAGGAGGGUUUGCCCACAAGUUCCAGUUGUCUGAUAAAUCUGCAGGCGUCUCUGUUCUCCCUCUGUUUGACUGCUUUCUAUCUCAGGCUGUACUUCUUGGCUUUGGGUUGGCAUGUUCGUGACACUUUGCCCUGUCUGCUUCCAGCCAUAUGUUUAGUUGGGUGUUUGUUUUUUAAGCCGCCUCAUUAAACAUCACCCCCUGCCCCAACCAAUUUGGGAUAGGGAUCCAGGGUGUUGUGUGUUGUCUCUAGUUUGGCCCAGAGUGAGUUGGGCUUAUUGGGGGCUGAGUCCAAAGCAGAUAUGGAAUGUUGGGUACAGAACAAUUCAUUAGGAACAUCCAUAUUAGAUUUUUGAUCUUGGUUGAAUGCCAUAUAAGAAGUGGGGAAGCAUGAAGCUGGGAUAGCUCAGUUGGUAGAGCAUGAGGCCCUUAAUCUCAAGGUUGUGGGUUCAAGCCCCACGUUUGGCAAAAGGUUCCUGCAUUUGCAGGUGCUGUAGUACACCCAGUCUAGAUCACCCUUGUGAUCCCUUCCAAUUCUACAAUUCUAUGAAUGGUUAUUUCAUCCACAUCCCCAAAACCACAUAUGUUUUAAGCAACCACCACUCCUCCUCAAACCUGAGUCUGAUUCCCACAGAUAAGAUAAUGAAAUGGAGACAAUAGAACCACUACAGUGGCACCUCAGGUUACAGAUGCUUCAGGUUAGAGACACUUCAGGUUACAGACUCUGCUAACCCAGAAAUAGUACCUCGGGUUAAGAACUUUGCUUCAGGAUGAGAACAGAAAUUGUGCAGUGGCGGUGCGGUGGCAGCAGGAGGCCCCAUUAGCUAAAGUGGUACCUCAGGUUAAGAACAGUUUUAGGUUAAGAAUGGACCUCCAGAACGAAUUAAGUUCUUAACCCGAGGUACCACUGUAUUGUGAUGCAGAUAAUUAUAUUGAAACACAGUGGUACCUCGGGUUACAGACGCUUCAGGAUACAGACUCCGCUAACCCAGAAAUAGUACCUCGGGUUAAAAACUUUGCUUCAGGAUGAGAACAGAAAUCACGCAGCAGCGGCAUGGCGGCUGCUGGAGGCCCCAUUAGCUAAAGUGGUGCUUCAGGUUAAGAACAGUUUCAGGUUAAGAACGGACCUCUGGAACAAAUCAGGUUCUUAACCCGAGGUACCACUGUAUUUCUAAGGUGAGCAGCUUCAAGAAGGCCAAGAAGGCUGAAUGGUAAAAUAGCUCACUAAGGAAUCAUUUAUUUCUCUUCAUUCACAGCUUCAUGUUCUCAAGUCAGUCCAAAAGAUCCAAUUGUCAUUUGCAGUCUCACUUCAAUCCCUGUAUACUUGUGGCAUACAAAGGAUGAACAGGUUAAAUCGGCUGUGAUAAACUGGGCAAAGGACUUAGGACAUAAUACACAAAUGGCAGAUUGGAAGAGGCUAUGGAGAACAGAUUUGAAAUUCACAGCAUGUUGUACACUUAAAGAAAAUUAUAUGAAAAUGAUGGACUGGUGGUAUCUGACUCCUACUAAGUUAUCCAAAAUGUAUAGAACAAGCUCCAAUAUUUGUUGAAAGUGCAAAGAAAUGAGGGUACCUUUUGUAAAAACCAAUCAAAAAUAUUUUUUAAAAUCCCUGUAUACUUGCGAUCAUAUCUGUGGCCUUUGGCUCUGUGGGAGUCCCAUCAACCACCAUCUCAAGAGGACUCCUUUCAUUUACUGCUGUGUCAUUUGGGAAGACUCCCUGUUCCUGUUAAUUGCGGUGUGGCAUGAUUUCUGCCUCCCCUUGAUUAAUACUUUGGAGGUGUAAUAAAAUAACACUAAUAAGGUGGUGCUGGCUACGGUUGUAGCGGAGCGGCAAUUGCCAAAUGGAACAGUUGCCUUUUGCCUUUGCUGUACUGUUUGUACUUUCGACGUGCCGCCUGCCUCUCGGAGUAUUGCAAAGAUAAUAUUUCACACAUUUCGCUCCAGGGCACACGCUAUACUUCCUCAUUAUUAUUCAUUACAGUUAUGAGAGCCAGGCAAAGAACUGUGAAUGUUUCCUUUGAUCCUUUUGGCACCUACCCAACUAGUCGAUUUAUUAAGCAUUAAAGGAUGGGUAUUACUGAAACCUCAAUCCAGCAGUCUUGUUGACUGUAAUUAAAAAGGAACACCAUUUGGUUGAAGGCAGCAAUGCUACUGAAUAUCAGUUUCUGGAAACUGCAGGAGGGAAGAGCCUUGUUGUGCUUGCGGAUUUUGUGCAGGCAUCUGGUUGUGAGAACACGAUACUGGACUAAGGUUACCAGAUUUAUUUCAAUGAAUCCGGGGACACUUUAAAUAAAUAAACACUACACGUUCGGGACGUUGAUGCUGCAGCGAUGGCGGUGGCAGAGAGGCGGCUGCUGCCUUGACCUCAACCGCCACGUUUCCCCUUCUUCCGAGGCUUCUAUCUCCUUUCUCCAUAAGCCUGGGCAGCCCAGGUUGUUGGUUCUUUGGUGGUGGUGGGGAAGCAGUGCUCGGUAGGUCAGGCAUGGAAGGCGGAGAAGGAGGGCCGAGAGUGGCGGUGACGGUGAGGCUCGGGCAGCGCGAUGCCGCCCUUCCCAUCAGAGCAGACCCAAUCCCAUUCCUACUUGUGUGCAAGCAGGAGGGGGCAAGGAUCUCUUAAUUAGGCAAUGGGAAGCCUCCCUUCCCAGCUGAGGGAUCCCAUUAGUUGCUGGGGUCAGGGAAGGUGGACGCAGCCCGGAAGCUGCAUCUUAGAGCCCCUGCACCACCAUCACAUGGGGACUUCUGAGCAGUUCCUGAAGCCAGCCAACUGUCCUGGGGACAUUAGAUGAAAUCCGGGGACAUUCCGGGGAUGGAAUUUGUCCGGGGACUUAUUCACAAAUCCAGGGACUGUCCCCGGGAAAUGGGGAUGUUUGGUAACCCUAGACUAAAUGGCCCAGCACAACCUAAGGCUUCAAGAAAUCACUUUAUCCUAAUCUUCUAAAAUAUAUCCUUUCCACAGACUUAAUUGAACCACUGGGGGCUCUGUGUUCCAUCUUUGUUGCAUUGACUUACAUCAAAAAUUUAAACCGGAUAGCAUAAAAAAUAAUCUGAUUUAGAGUUUUCCUGGCUACCUUUCUAGUUGUCUCUGUGUGAGAUAUCCCAAACUCUACGAAACCAAUAAUCAGUCAAUGGAGUUAAGCAAAUUUCCAUUGACUGGCUAUUGACAUUGUUCUUGCAGCUAACAAUAAAAAGACCAGAGACUUAUUCUGGGAUUUGUAUUGCUUUCUAUUGAAAGCAAGGUCAAGGCUGGAUCUGGUGUUAAUGGUUGAUCCGUGUUUAGAAAGAUAAUGGUAAAAACCUUUAUUCAAAAAUUAUAUAAAACCUCACAUUCCCAUUAUAUGUGCAUAUAAGUUCCUAUAGUCUUACAGUCCUACCAGCAAAGUGGAGAAAUAUUUGUAUUGAUUUUGGAAAGGCAUACUGGAAGCAAAUACCACCUAAGUAUGAUUUUUAAAGUGGAUUUUGAGAAGAUACAGUUUUUAAAGAAUCAUUUACCAAAAUCUGAUCCCAUUUAUCCGACUUACAUUCUUCAAUUUGAUAUUUAAGGUCACCCUCCCAGGCUAUCCUAAGACUUGGUGGAGGGCCAAUUGCCUGGCUUAUUAGUAAUUUGUAAAUACUGGAUAUCAAGCCUUUAGAAAUCAGAGAUAUAGGAACAAUUAAGGAUUCAAGAGUAGUUAGAGAAUGCCAACAAUCCCCCUUAUGGGCUAAAGAUUUAGUAAAUGCAGUUAUUUGAAGUGUCUCCCAAGAGUAGUGCAUGCUCUGGUUAUCUUCCGCUUGGACUACUGCAAUGCGCUCUACAUGGGGCUAGCUUUGAAGGUGACCUGGAAACUGCAAUUAAUCCAGAAUGCGGCAGCUAGACUGGUGAAUGGAAGCAGCCGCCGGUCCUAAAAGACCUACACUGGCUCCCAGUAUGUUUCCAAUGACAAUUCAAAGUGUAGGUGCUGACCUUUAAAGCCCUAAAUGGCCUCUGUCCAGUAUACCUGAAGGAGCAUCUCCACCCUCAUUGUUAAGUCUGGACACUUAGGUCCAGCUCUGGCGGUUCUCUCCCUGUGAGAAGCAAAAUUACAGGGAACCAGGCAGAGGGCCUUCUCGGUGGUGGUGCCCACCCUGUGGAACGCCUUCCCAUCAGAUGUCAAGGAAAUAAAUAACUAUCAGACUUUUAGAAGACAUCUGAAGGCACCCACGAUUUCCGGUGUCUGUGUCUGCACAGACACAAUUUCUGGCAUUUACACAGAUGCCAUUUCCGGCACCGCAGAAGCAAGUACCCGCACCACGCCACACCGCACCGCAACACACUGCUUUAGCGUAGCGUGCAGGGACUCGCCGAGUGGCCGUUUUGGUCUGGGGGACUCGCCGAGUGGCCAUUUUGGUUUGGGGGCAGCUUGUGGGCUGGCCAAAUGACCCCUGUGGGCCGCUUGUGGCCCAUAGGCCUUAGGUUGCUGACCCCUGCGAACACCACCACAAAUGAAUUAGCAGGAACUGAGAGAACUUCCAAAAUGCUGCAUCCAUCUCAAGCCUAGCAUAACUGCACAUGACUAAAACAUCCUUCCGCCUCCAAGAGCUAUUGGCAGUGGUGUCGAUGCCGUUCAGGAGGCCCCGAGAAAGUACAAACAGUACAGUAAAGUGCAGCAGGUAGCUGCCCAUUUUGGCAGCCGCCAGACAUUUCUCUAUGUAAGGAUUGUAGCCAUCAUUGGCUCAUUAUUUUUAAAUUAAGCCUCCAAAGCACUCAUCUUGGGGCGGGGGUGUGUGUGGAAAUCAUUUCACACAGCAAUUAAUAAGAACAAAGUCUUUCCGAAUGAGGCGGCAUAACAUCAGAUGAAAGGCGUCACUUUGGCAUGUGGUUGAGGGAACUCCCACACGGCUAAUGGUCAAAAACAGGGUUGUAAAUAUCCAGGGACUGCAUAUAACAAUUAGCUCUUUAGGGCUGCCUCAGGGCUCUGACCUUGUGAAUGGAAGACUAUAAAAGGAUGUCAUACACAGCUCUGUUCCAACAGCGUCUGUCGGCAGCCUUUGUCUCCUUCUUCGCAUAGUCGGCUUCUUCGGCUGCUGGUGGUAUGAACCGUUUUUUACUGAAUCUCUUGGGGGAAGAAUGUCUCUCUUUGGAAUGUGUUGUCGUGCUUUUGCUUUCAAAUGUUAAUAGUUGGGACUUGUGUUUAAGUUGGGAUUGUUGGGCUGCUUGAGACUGUUAGCAUCUUGAGUUUCUGUGGGUAAUUAGCUGAAAUAGACAUUUUCACGAGGGACGCAGGUGGCACUGUGGUCUAAACCACAGAGCCUAGGGCUUGCCGAUCAGAAAGUUGGGGGUUCGAAUCCCCAUGACGGAGUGAGCUCCUGUUGCUCGGUCCCUGCUCCUGCCAACCUUGCAGUUUGAAAGCAUGUCAAAGUGCAAGUACAGUGGUACCUCGGGUUAAGUACUUAAUUCGUUCUGAAGGUCCAUUAUUAACCUGAAACUGUUCUUAACCUGAGGUACCACUUUAGCUAAUGGGGUCUCCUGCUGCCGCUGCUGCGCAAUUUCUGUUCACAUCCUGAAGCAAAGUUCUUGACCUGAGGUACUAUUUCUGGGUUAGCGGAGUCUGUAUCCUGAAGCGUCUGUAACCUGAAGCAUCUGUAACCCAAGGUACCAUUGUAGAUAAAUAGGUACCGCUCCGGCAGGAAGGUAAAUGGCGUUUCUGUGCGCUGCUCUGCUUCGCCAGAAGUGGCUUAGUCAUGCUGGCCAUAUGACCCGGAAGCUGUACGCUGGCUCCCUCAGCCAAUAAAGCAAGAUGAGCGCCGCAACUCCAGAGUCGUCCAUGACUGGACCUAAUGGUCAGGGGUCCCUUGUCCCUUUACCUUAGGCAUUUUCACAGUCAAGAUGGAGAUGUGUGAUUCACAGAUUUUGUCCAAAACCAAAGAAAUUAGAUUUUAAAGUUGAUUACAGAGGCCUACCCUUCCCCCCCCCCAAAGGUAAAUAUUUCUUGUUCAAAUAAUAAGUAGCUCAGUGUUGAACCACAACACCAAUGCCAGAACGAUUGAGCUGCAGCGAUCUGACAGGUGACACACGUCACCACGAAUGCCACUUUUUACUGUGAUUGCAUGCCUUUAUUUUAUUGCAAGCAAAAGUAAAAAUGGGUGGUGAGGAAGGUGCCUGUCACCUGGGGCAAAAAAAUAAAAAAAUGGCCCCAGGAAACCUAUCAGGUCAACCCAUGUACCUUCAUAUUCUCACACUUUGUGUUGGCUUUCCUAGAUCUAUGUCUCAGAUAGAAAUUGAAUGAGACUCUUCAGACAUCCCUGCUGGUCUCACUGCAAAGGUCUCUCACUCACCCCUUGCCCACCUGCAUGGUUGCGUCCACUCAAAAUUGUGCACCUAGGGUCGCUGCCUCAUUGUUUCCCCCUCUGUCCAGCUCAUGAAAGGUAGUUCACACAUCCUUUGUGAAAUAUACUCGGAGUCGAGAGUGGAUUUCAUGCUCUUUAUUCAGCUCGUAGUGGUGAGGAGGAAUGGAAGUUCCCCCAGAAUGUCUGCCUUAUAUACAUUAUUUACACAAUGGGCCCCACGUAAUUGGCUAAUUCUGGGAUUCUCCUGUAGGCCAAUCAGACUGCGGAUUCCCUUCCACCUGGAGCUGGAUUGGGUGGCUCCUGUGGACCAAUCAGACUGCUGCAUUCUGAAUCCUAGUGUUCUAGGACCAAUCAGACGGCUGCCUUUUGGAUCCUAUUCAACUCAGUACAUACUCAGUACCUUGUAUUCUUGCCUUGUUGUACUACCUGUGGGUGAGGAACGGAGUCCCCAUUCUCCCUGUGGGGGCGGGGGCGGGGAGCAGGUGGGAAGAUGAUGGAUGGAGCCCCAAUGAGAUCCCCACUUCUGUUUCCCCCCUCCCCUUAAAUGUUUGCAAUGGCCUCUCUUCUCAACGUUGCAGAAGGCAAGUGAAAAUGGGGUAUCUAUACAAAAGUGAAAGUUCUGGCAGCUGUAUAUUAUAAUUUAAUCUAUCCAAUUUUAAUGCUUUCAAAAGUAUUUCCCUACAAUGCCUUUAACUGUACAAUUAAGAUCAUAAUUUAAAGAGGGCCUUUAUAGACACCAGCAUUUGCCUGCUUAAAUUUUAACAUACGUAAUGUGUUCUACCCCACAUUUUUUCAGGGUCAUGGUCUCCUUUUCAGCGAAGCUCAACGUCCCCAUACACAUAGCCUAUUUCUCUCCACAUGAUGUGUAUUCUAUAAACUUUAUGCUCGACUUGCUCAACCCUGGCAUAACAAUGCGUAAGUCCUCAUAGUGCCCUCAGUCCCAACAGCAAUGCUAGACAGUGAGGUGUUCAAAUAAAGGUUCAGGUUCACUGUAAUAAGAAAGGUUCAAAGUCAAACCAUAAGGUCAGGUUCCCACCUCUACAGAAGAGCCAAGGUUGGGAUCCUAGGAUCAGUCCCAAAAUCACAGGCCAGUGGAGGUCCCAAAGCAGACUUCUCUCAAACACACCUUCUCUCAAAUCCAAGGAGUCCCAUGAUCUGGUCAACCAGUCAACUGGGCUGUGUUCUCGCACCUACCUCUGAAAGUGUUCCCAAUGCCUGAGAGCCCACCGUGUUCAUGCAGAUGGGGUGUGCUGGUCCCAUGGGUUACCCGAAAGGCGAGGUCCAAGUCCGGUCUGUGGUCAAAGGUGCAAUGUGGAGGCAGUCCGUAGCAGCUGAAGCUGGGUGCAGGGCAGGGAGUCGGGUGAAGUCAGGAACAGGCAUGCAAGCCAGGGCGGGUCUGGAGCUCAGGCAGGAAAGCAGGACAGGGUUCAGGCAGGAACUAGCAACCAACACUGUUGCUCCCUCAACUUGGGACUGGGGCUGGCCAGCUUUUAUCUGCCCCGAGGCAUAGGGCGGCCCCAAUCCUCAGGUGACUCGCCUCUCCUGGCCUGGAGGCGAGCACUCCUUCUGCGAGAACUUAGUUCCCUCCGCCUCUCUGCCCUGAGCCUCUGCAGCUCAGGAGAGGCUGGAGGGUUACUGGACCCAGAGGCAACCUCAGCUUCCUCUGACGGGGCUGAGAGUGGAGCAUUUGCCAACAAUGGGUCCUCCAUCACCUCAGGAGCCAGAGCAGACUCAGCUGGUGCCUGCACCUGAGGAUCCAGCACAGGUAAGGACCCUUUAGGCUCAUGCCCCAGCCCCGGCUCAGCUGGUUCUGGAGGCGGGGAACCCUGUGCAGGCUGGGAUCCCUCAGGUUCAGCAUCCAAGUCCGAACCCCAGGCCAUCACCUGGGGCCACCUUUGGUUCUGAUGAUGUGUCGACUUUCCCUGGUUCCCGUGAACUGGUGGCUGCCCUUUCAGCAUCUUCUGAAGUCCCUUGAGUGCCUCCCGCCCCCAACCUCCCCUUCCCCAUCUUCAACUUGUCCCAGUGUAUACCAAUCAUAGCUACAUCCCUCGCUGGGAUCCCCUUCCCCUUCCCUGGUGCCCUGCCAGUUCAUGACUCCCAGUAUGUUUCUGAGCACAACUCAAAGUGUUGGUGCUGACCUUUAAAGCCCUAAACGGCGUCGGUCCUUUAUACCUGAAGGAGCAGCUCCACCCCCAUCAUCCAGCCCGGACACUGAGGUCCAGCUCCGAGGGCCUUCUGGCGGUUCCCUCGCUGCGAGAAGCCAAGUUACAGGGAGCCAGGCAGAGGGCCUUCUCGGUAGUGGCGCCAGCCCUGUGGAACGCCCUCCCAGCAAAUGUCAAGGCAAUAAACAACUAUUUUACUUUUAAAAGACAACUGAAGGCGGCCCUGUUUUGGGAAGUUUUUAAUGUCUGACUCUGUAUUGUUUUUAAUAUUCGGUUGGAAGCCAUGCAGAGCGGCUGGGGAAACUAAGCCAGAUGGGCAGGGUAUUAUGAUGAUGAUGAUGAUGAUGAUGAUGAUGAUGAUGAUGAUGACAUGUGGCAGUACAGUACUCCACAACAGCACCCCCAACCAGGUAUCUGGAGGGCUCCCUGGUUCCACCCUUCUUGGUCCAUUGCCUGAAAUGUUGUGCUGACAGCUUUCUUACUGAGAGAAGGAUGAGCUUGUCCCUUUUUUUGAAUGGGAACAUGAUCCCCAGAGGAAGGGGUGUGUGGUAUGUGAAGUGCAUAUAUUGGAGUAACGGCUGAUGAGUGUAUGGGCCCAGGUGUCAGAAAUGCAGAGACUAGACUCCCCUUCCAGACAAGUCCAAUUUGAUUGGAUCAAGGAUCUCUCAACAUCUCUGCCACUCCGCCUUCACCUCACUGCCCCAUGUUCCUUUCUGUUUUGAUGCUCUCUCUCUUAGAUUUGUACCUUUUUGCUUCCUUUCUAUCCAGGCGACCCUGAAUAAUAGAAGCUUGCCACCCAUUGAUGGAUCUCUGGACAUUCUUCAGGCCUGAAACAGUUAUGAUGCUGCCCGUUUCCCAAGAAGCUCUGUUUUUCCCUGUGUACCUUUAACCAGUCAUUAAUCUUUUGCUCAUUUACACCGCAGUGUAUUCUUUCCCUUUCUGAAGUUGCUUAAUGUAUGGGUUCUUUCAUGCCACUGUCCCCCACCCCACCCCAC